UCAUUGGGAAGAUGGACAAGUAUCCAGUGGAAAAAAUAAGGAAUGGUGAUGCCUCGCUGGAGUAUAAUAUCGAUGGAUGGAACUUUUGGGAAGAGGACAUAUCCUCAAAGCAUAAGACUCAGUGAGGGAACCACGGAACCACUAUGCGGCGCAGCGAAUGGGGAAAAAACAAAAGCAGCGACUCUGAAUGUGCGCAUACUUUGACAAUCAUAGGUUAGUUAUCAUCAUUAUCACCGUGAGCAGCGUCAUCAUCGCACUGAGCAUAUAUCAACAAUAUUCAUUGUCAAAUAUCAGCAAACAAAAACCAAAAGCAACAGAAACACACAAAUUCAUUAAUUGGCUGUGUGGCACACAUGAAGAGAUACGGUAUUAAUUUUCUUUUUAGAUCUUAUUUUCGGCCGAUUUCACAUUUUAGAGUCGCCCUACAUAGAAUUUCACAUCAGUAGCCGUAUAUUUGAUUAGAAUAUGUAACUAGCUAGAUAUUUCGUAAAUAUUGUAGCACUUCAUAUAGUCAGGUGGCAAUUUUUUUUAUUUUACAAAGAUAAAAACUUCACCUUGAUCGUCGACGCACAACGCUUUACGAAUCGAGAGAGAUUUGAUUAACUUUUUUUCACUAAUGGAUCAAAGAACGAGAAACACUUGAUGCUAAUCAAUGCAAAAUAUAUUUUUGAGACGACGCAGGAAGAGAGGAAGCAAAAUGAUAGACGGACACACAUACAUACUAUAUUUUCAACGUUGCUGCUGCUUUUAUCGCACGUUCUCUUGUUAGAAUUGUGUUUUUUUUUGCUGUUCGUUGUUGUUGCCGUUUGUGCUCAAAAGUCAAAUAAAGUCAUAAAAAAAGAAACAAUCUAUUUUUAUAGCGAGCGAUUCAUGAAUUACGCAAAGAGAAAAAUUUUCAUUUCAUUGAAAAUUGGAAAAUAUGCAAAGGUGAAUUGUCAAAUAACAAAACUACCACCACUAUUAUUACUACGUUAAUUAUGAUGAUAUUAUGAAAACAUCAUGUACACUACUACGUAGAUACUACACAAACAUCAUCAUUUCCAUCAGCACGUCGUCGUCGUUGUCAUGAUGAUGAAGAUGUUAGUCGCCUGCAAGCCCAAGUGGGUAGUGGGUGGCAUGAGAAAUACAAGCUUGGCCUUUCUCGCAGAGUAAUCGUCGACGUCGACCAACAUUCCACUUCUCUGACGACUUUGACAAUAAUGAUGUUCAACAAACUUGGGCUGAUGUCUGGUUCUUGUAGUGGUGGGCCGAGGUCGUUUAUUCUCGAUUCAGUUAAUAAUUUCUUUACAAUUUUCCAAUAUUUCUUUGCAUUUACACUGUAAUACAAUACAUUUUGCUUUGAAACUCACUGUAAGUUUAUUAAUUUCAAUAAAAUAAUAUGAUUUUUGGUUUA